rfam:Stegodyphus mimosarum contig24464, whole genome shotgun sequence.
GCGUUCGUGGUAUAAUGGUCAGCACACUCGGCGCGUAUUCGAGAGGUCCGAGGUUCGAGUCCCGGCGAGGGCA